UUAUUUCCCUCGCGAGAAUACUUGUUUACUGGUAAUCUAAAUAAAUCGCCAGCGAUAACAUGGAACAACAGGGUAUUAAUUUCAGCCAAAAUAUUUCAUUUGUGAAAUAAUCCCUCCCCUGCAAAUGAAACUAGGGUUUCUCAACUAGUCUCUCUCACCAUUGACUACCACAUAAGUGAAAUUCUCUCUUAUUAUCGCCCAAUUUGUCUAUCUCACUAUCACCAGCACCAGGCGAAAUGUUAUCGAAUGCAUGUGUAUACACGUCCAGUAUCAAUUUCUUGAUGCUUCAUGGGAAACAUAAAUGAUGUCUGAGAUAAAUUAUGGUAAUUUUGUGUCUUUUCCUUGAAAGGUAUAACCAGCAGUCCGUGCUUUGGAUGUCUUCCUCUAAACUAGAAUUACUUGGCGUAAAAGUGAAGAAAAUGGUGUCAGAAGCUGGAUUGUGAAAGUCUCAUAAAUAACACUGGUCAGGAGACCAUAUCAUGUUUCUUUGGAAGCCCUUAUGGGCCAACUUAAACACAUUCUCAAGGCAAGAAGUACUCGUGGUGAUCAAUGAAGAUAGUGAAUCAGUCUAUCUUCAGAGAGCUCAUUAUAUUGCUAGUGCAACAAAUUAUACUAUCAUUUCUUUGUUGCUUUCGAGAAUUCGGUAGAUCUCGCCAUGCUGAAUGUUGUCCUACCCUUUCACGGAUUAUGAACUUAAGAUAUUUUGUGCUUACAGCUACAUAUUGAAGCAUAUGCAACCAGAGGAAGAGGCAGUAAUAAGCUCCUUAAAACAAUUAUAUGCCAGCAACAAUAACUUCAGUGCUGAAGAUAUAUCUGUUAGAAGAAAGGAUUGGAUUGAAGUAGUUAAUUUUUUUCCUCUCAAGUUGAUAGUUUCAAAUUAGAGAUUUUAGGUUUUUUUUUUGUUGUAAUUUUUAAUGAAAUACAUUAUGUUUUUAGAAUGAAUAUAAGUGUGUUUAAUUA